rnacentral:rRNA from 1 species
UACGGGGGGGGCAAGCGUUGUUCGGAAUUACUGGGCGUAAAGGGCUCGUAGGCGGCCAACUAAGUCAGACGUGAAAUCCCUCGGCUUAACCGGGGAACUGCGUCUGAUACUGGAUGGCUUGAGUUUGGGAGAGGGACGCGGAAUUCCUGGUGUAGCGGUGAAAUGCGCAGAUAUCAGGAGGAACACCGGUGGCGAAGGCGGUUCUCUGGGCCUGUACUGACGCUGAGGAACGAAAGCGUGGGGAGCGAACAGG